UACGUAGGGUGCGAGCGUUAAUCGGAAUUACUGGGCGUAAAGGGUGCGCAGGCGGCCAAGUGUGUUAGGCGUGAAAGCCCGGGGCUUAACCCCGGAAUUGCACCUAAAACUACAUGGCUAGAGCAUUGGAGAGGGUAGCAGAAUUCAUGGUGUAGCAGUGAAAUGCGUAGAUAUCAUGAGGAAUACCAGAGGCGAAGGCGGCUACCUGGACAAUUGCUGACGCUCAGGCACGAAAGCGUGGGGAGCAAAAGGG
rnacentral:rRNA from 1 species